ensembl:snoRNA SNORA71 Small nucleolar RNA SNORA71
CCCUGAUUUAAAAAGUGACUGUGUGGUGCCUAUGCCAUGGUCAUUGAUACUAUAGGGAGAGGAUGCUAAAUACCUCUCCCUGUGUUUGGAAGGCCAGCUCCUUCCAGUCCUUGCUAAACCCUGGUGUACUGAAUACA